AUAUCAAUAAGCGGAGGAAAAGAAACCAACAGGGAUUGCCCUAGUAACGGCGAGUGAAGCGGCAACAGCUCAAAUUUGAAAUCUGGCUCUCUUGCAGGGUCCGAGUUGUAAUUUGCAGAGGGUGCUUUGGCGUUGGCAGCGGUCUAAGUUCCUUGGAGCAGGACAUCACAGAGGGUGAGAAUCCCGUACGUGGUCGCUAGCCCUCGUCCG
rnacentral:rRNA from 1 species